rnacentral:lncRNA from 1 species
AGUCUCGCUCUGUUUCCCAGGCUGAAGUGCAAUGGCGUGAUGUCGGCUCACUGCAUCCUCCGGCUCCUGGACUCAAGCGAUUCUCCUGCCUCAGGCUCCCAAGUAAGUGGAACCACAGACAUUUUCUAUUUCUUUGCAAGCAUUUUCUAUUUCUUUGCAAGUUCACCUGUCUGUUCACCUGUGACACCAUGCCCAGCUAAUUUUUGUAUUUUUAGUAGAGACAGGGUUUCACCAUGUUGGCCAGGCUGGUCUCGAACUCCUGACCUCAGGUGAUCCACCUGCCCCAGCCUCCCAAAGUGUUGGGAUUACAGUGUGAGCCACCACGCCCAGCCUACAUUUUAUUUAUGUAUUUUUUUUUUGAGAUGGGGUCUUGCUCUGCCACCCAGCCUGGAGUGCAGUGAUGCUAUCACGGCUCACUACAGCCUCAGCCUCUCAGGCUCAAGCAGUGCUCCCACCUUGGCCUCCUGAGUAGCUAGGACCUAGGCACAUACCACCACACCAGGCUAAUUUAUUUAUUUUUUGUAUUUUUGUAAAGAUGGGGUCUCCUUAUGUUGCCUGGGCUGGUAUCAAACUCCUGGGCUCAAGUGAUCUUCCCACCUCAGCCUUCCAAAGUGCUGGGAUGACAGGCAUGAGCCACCACGUCUAGCCCACUCUAAAGCUCUUUCCCAGGACCCAUCUCAAGUGAUCCAUGUGUGUUCAUGUGACAUUGAGGUCUUUCAUGCAAAGAUCCUUAUCCAGGGCCCUAGAGCAGCCCGCACCUGAGCCAGGUGCUCAGGAAAUCAGAAUGAAAAUCAUCUCACCUGCUUGGUUGUCUGGCACGUCUCACUGUAUCACCCUGCUUUAAAGGCACAGAAACUGAGGGUCCCUGGGGAGGAGGGACUCACUAGGGAUCCCACAGUCUGUGAGCGAGAAAGCUGGGUGGGAGCCCUGAUGGGCCUGACUCUAGGGCAGGAGUUUCCACGGUAUCCUCUAAGGAGUUUGAGACCAGCCUGGGCAACAUGGUGAAACCCCGUAUCUACUAAAAAUACAAAAAAAGUAAUAAUAAUAAACAGGCAUAGUGGUGCACAUCUGUAGACCUAGCUGCUCAAGAGUCUGAAGUGGGAGAAUCACUUGAGUUAAGGAGAUCGAGGCUGCAGUGAGCCAAGACCGCACUGCAGCCUGGGUGAUGAGAGUGAGACGCUCUCUCAAAACAAAAUAAAACAAAAAUAGCUGAGGCUGAGAGAGACAAAUGCCUGAGAAGGAACGGUGGGUCUGACCUUGAACCCUGGUGACUCCAAGUCAGGAGCUGCCUCUGGGACCCAGCAUACAGCCUGGCACCUUCCAGGCAAAGCCCCUCCCUCUGCUGCCUCUGAAUUCAGCAGGAGACUGAGCGUUUGCAUACACUUCGUGUCUGAAAACUUCCAGGAUUCCCAAGAUUCAUUUCACAAAGACUUUUCUCGUAGGACAGGUAUUUGAAACAUCUGGUUAACAAGUACCCAGCUUGAAGAAAGCCUGGAUCUUCACAGCACGCUCAGUUUGUAGAAGAGAAAAACCCUACUCUGGGCUCUAAUUUGCUUCAGCUCCAUUAAACACAUCCUGAGCCCUGCUGUGUGCCAGACGCUGUGCUGAAUACCUGGCACCAGAAGACCAAUCGGGCCCAGGGCUUCUCCCCAAGGAGCUUCCUGGCCAGGCGGAGACACCCCUGGAAUAGACCAUUUAGGAGCCUGAGGCCUGCAUGUAGCAUUUAGUCAGCAGUUAAGUGUGGAAGUAUAAGUGAGUAAAUGGAUGAAUACCUGAGGGUGCGAAUGAGCUACAGAAUUAAUGACUGAAUGAAUUAAUGAAGUUGACAAAUGCUAUUACAGAAGUGAGCACAGACUAUGAUAGCCCAGCAGAGAGGCAUUUAGAACCUUAGCUGUGGCCACAGGUGAUGGUGCAGGAGGAAAAGCCAAUAUCUGUGCAGCAUUUUCCAUUUCUUUGCAAGUUCACCUGCCUCUAUCAUCUGAGACUCACCCUGAGGGUGUUCUUUGGUUGCCUGAGAGUCUGCUCAACCUGAAAGGGACAGGUGGCCAGAAGUGCUGGGGAGUUGACAUCCUGAGCAAGCAGUUCUUGGCCAAUGACGGGGAGUAGUUGGUGUAUAAAUACCCCAGCUUCCUUGCUCCACGGUGGGAUAAUCCUAAAGUGACUGUUCUGUGCCGGCUCCCAGUGUUCCCCAAUGGAACGGAGCUGCAGUCACCCACAGUGAUUAUUUGCUAGAUAACCCACACCUUAUUAUCGACCCACCAAUAUCUCCUGGAAUCAUCCUGAGAUCACCUCCCAAAUAAAGCACUCAAAUCUUUGUCUCAGAAUCUAUUUCUAGGAGAACCCAAACUACAAGAGUGAUGAUUAUGAAAACAUUUAUGGUCAUAGCUAAUAUUUGCUGAGUGCUUACUACAUGCCAGCCACUGCCUGCUACGUGCUCUAAGGCACUUCUCCCACUUAACACUCAUGAAAUCUCUGAGAUGCAGACAUUAUGAUCAUCAUCCCAUUUUACAGAUGGGACUGAGGCUCAGAAGUGAAGUCAUCUAUGUAAAGUCAUGUAAUUCUUUAUCGUCACAGCCAGAAUAUGAGCCCAACUCUCUUUAACUCCAGAGUUUGAGGAUAUAACCAUUCUGCCAUGCUGUCUCCUGAUUUUCUUUUCUUUCUUUCUUUCUUUCUUUUUUUUUUUUUUUCUUUGAGAUGGAGUUUUGUUCUUGUUGCCCAGGCUGUAGUGCAAUGGUACCAUCUCGGCUCACUGCAACCUCCGCCUCUCGUAUUCAAAUGAUUCUCCUGCCUCAGCCUCCCUAGUAGCUAGGAUUACAGGCACCUGCCACCAUGCCCAGCUAAUUUUUUUGUUUUUUGUAUUUUUAGUAGAGACAGGGUUUCACUAUGUUAGCCAGGCUGGUCUCGAACUCCUGACCUCAGUUGAUCUACCCACCUCAGCCCCCAAAAGUGCUGGGAUUACAGGCCUGAGCCACCGCGCCCGGCUCUGUCUCCUGAUUUUCAUCUUCCAUUGUCUGUAGGGAGGAGAGAUGAGGACGAGAGGGAGAAAGGAUGCCUGGGCUUGCUUUCUCAGUGGGGAAGAGUUCAAUCUCAGUUCAGGUUUUCUUUUAACAAAAUUUUUAUGUUAAUAAAAUUAAUAAAGUUGUUUUAUUUAUUUAUUUUGAUGAGGGAGCUACACUCCAACUGAUCCCUGGAGAUACCACAGCCAUGUAUUGUCAAGAAGAAUUGGGGUAAAUAGGCAGGGUAUCUCUAGCCACAGGAGGAAGGGACCCAGGAUGUACUAAGCUCCUUCUAUAUUCUUGGAACUACAUACACAUUAACUCAGGCAGGGUUUCUCAAGCUCGGCACCACUGACAUGUUGAGCAUGAGAAUUGUCUGUUGUUCACUUUCUGCCUUUAGGAAGUCCUGCAGAGCAUGGGGGUGGCAGUAUGACCCAGCUCCCCUGUCAUUUCACUACAUCUUGAGCCAGAAGGGGGACUGCACUGCCGUGCAUCCUUUGGGCUGGCAAUGCUGGCGGUCCCAGUCAUCACAAUGGCAGCAGAACAAAGCCCUGACAUGUGUGUGACGUGUCAGAUGCAGCAGCUGCCUGUUGGGCCUGGCUCACUUUCUCAUGCUUUCCCCAUAUUACCUGAGAUGUUCAGAGGAGGAAAGCUGGAGGCAGCCCUUGGGUCUUCUAGGAGCCUAGCACGAGGGCCAAAAUGCAUGAGAACAAGCACAAGAUAAUCCCAUAGAAGCCUUCCUCUUAGCAUUCAGGCCUCAGAUUAAAUGUCACAGCCUUGUGGACAACUCCCUGAGCAUCAUGGCUGGUGUACCCACCCUGAUCCCAGGAACAUCAUCUUAUUUUGCAUUUCCCUAAAGCACUUAUUAUCAGAAAUUAGCUUCUUAGGCUGGGCACAGUAGAUCAUACCUGCAUUCCCAGCACUUUGGGAGGCCAAGGUGGGAAGAUCACUUGAGACCAGGAUUUCGAGACCAGCCUGGCCAAUAUGGCAAAACCCCAUUUCUACUUAACAUACAAAAACUAGCUGGGUAUGGUGGUACACGUCUGUAAUCCCAGCUUCUCGGGAGGCUGAGACACAAGAAUCGCUUGAACCGGGGAGGCAGAGGUUGCAGUGAGCCAAGAUAGCGCCACUGCACUCCAGCCUGGGUGACAGAGCAAGACUCCGUCUCAAAAAGAAAGAAAAAAAAGAACGAAUGAAAGAGAGAGAGAGAAAAAAAGAAAGAGAGAAAAAAAUGAGAGAGAGAGAAAGAAAAGAAAGAAAGACAGAAAGAAAAAAAGAAAAGAGAAGAGAAAGGAAAAGAAAAAAAAAAAAAAAAGAAAAGAGCUUUCUUAGUUACACAUUCAUCUUCUUAUACACUGUCUCCCAGCUGCAGAAUGGAAGUUCCAUGGGGUCAGGACCACAAUCCCCAAUGCCUGGCACGCAGUAGGUGCUAAAUGUGUAUUUGUUGACUGAACAAAUUGAUGGAAAAAUUACUAAAUGAAUGAAUGAGCUCUGGCCCACCUCUCACAAUCAAGCAGAUAGUUUGGUGAAACUAGUACAACUAUGUACAGGGCUAAUGCACAGUGCCCAGCAGGGACCAGGAGCAAACUUCCCUUACUUACCCAACCAAUGACCUACUGUGGUACAUACUUUUUUCCUUAUUAUGGUAAAAUACACAUUGCACAAAAUUCACCAAUUUUUACCAUUUUAGAGUGUACAAUUCAAUGGCAUUAAGUACAAUCAAAAUGCUUUUUUGUUGCUGUUGUUUUUGAGAUGGAGUCUUGCUCUGUCACCCAGGCUAGGUGGAGUGCAAUGGCACAACCUUGGCUCACUGCAACCUCUGCCUCCCAGGUUCAGGCAAUCCUCCCACCUCUGCCUCUUAAGUAGCUGAGACCACAGCCACACACCACCACACCUGGUUAAUUUUUGUAUUUUUUCUAACAGUGGGGUUUUGCCAGGUUUCCCAGACUGGUCUCAAAUUCCUGGGCUCAAGUGAUCCGGCAGCCUUGGAGCUCCCAAAGUGCUAGGAUUACAGGUGUGAGCCAUUGCACCUGUUCCCCCUUCCCAUGUUUUCUUCUAAGAAUUUUAUAGUGUUAGGUCUUAUAUUUAUUUAGGUCUUUGAUCCAAUGUUGAGUUAGUUUUUUUAUAUGGUGUGAGGUAAGCGUCUAUCUUCUUUCUUUUACAUGUGAAAACGUGGUAGAUACUUUAUUCAAUUUACAGAUUAGAACAUAGAGACUGAGAGGGAGUAAAUGACAUGUCCAGAGUCACAUAGCCAUUGGGAGUUGGAACUAGAAUUCAAUAUUAGGUCUGACUCCCAAGUUGAUCCCCUUUCCACCACAUCAAAAUGCCCUUUAUUAUUUUGUAUAGAUG